GGGUGAGUAAUGUCUGGGAAACUGCCUGAUGGAGGGGGAUAACUACUGGAAACGGUAGCUAAUACCGCAUAACGUCGCAAGACCAAAGAGGGGGACCUUCGGGCCUCUUGCCAUCGGAUGUGCCCAGAUGGGAUUAGCUAGUAGGUGGGGUAACGGCUCACCUAGGCGACGAUCCCUAGCUGGUCUGAGAGGAUGACCAGCCACACUGGAACUGAGACACGGUCCAGACUCCUACGGGAGGCAGCAGUGGGGAAUAUUGCACAAUGGGCGCAAGCCUGAUGCAGCCAUGCCGCGUGUAUGAAGAAGGCCUUCGGGUUGUAAAGUACUUUCAGCGGGGAGGAAGGGAGUAAAGUUAAUACCUUUGCUCAUUGACGUUACCCGCAGAAGAAGCACCGGCUAACUCCGUGCCAGCAGCCGCGGUAAUACGGAGGGUGCAAGCGUUAAUCGGAAUUACUGGGCGUAAAGCGCACG
rnacentral:rRNA from 1 species